rnacentral:rRNA from 1 species
GAUGAACGCUAGCUACAGGCUUAACACAUGCAAGUCGAGGGGCAGCAUGGUCUUAGCUUGCUAAGGCCGAUGGCGACCGGCGCACGGGUGAGUAACACGUAUCCAACCUGCCGUCUACUCUUGGACAGCCUUCUGAAAGGAAGAUUAAUACAAGAUGGCAUCAUGAGUCCGCAUGUUCACAUGAUUAAAGGUAUUCCGGUAGACGAUGGGGAUGCGUUCCAUUAGAUAGUAGGCGGGGUAACGGCCCACCUAGUCUUCGAUGGAUAGGGGUUCUGAGAGGAAGGUCCCCCACAUUGGAACUGAGACACGGUCCAAACUCCUACGGGAGGCAGCAGUGAGGAAUAUUGGUCAAUGGGCGAGAGCCUGAACCAGCCAAGUAGCGUGAAGGAUGACUGCCCUAUGGGUUGUAAACUUCUUUUAUAAAGGAAUAAAGUCGGGUAUGCAUACCCGUUUGCAUGUACUUUAUGAAUAAGGAUCGGCUAACUCCGUGCCAGCAGCCGCGGUAAUACGGAGGAUCCGAGCGUUAUCCGGAUUUAUUGGGUUUAAAGGGAGCGUAGAUGGAUGUUUAAGUCAGUUGUGAAAGUUUGCGGCUCAACCGUAAAAUUGCAGUUGAUACUGGAUAUCUUGAGUGCAGUUGAGGCAGGCGGAAUUCGUGGUGUAGCGGUGAAAUGCUUAGAUAUCACGAAGAACUCCGAUUGCGAAGGCAGCCUGCUAAGCUGCAACUGACAUUGAGGCUCGAAAGUGUGGGUAUCAAACAGGAUUAGAUACCCUGGUAGUCCACACGGUAAACGAUGAAUACUCGCUGUUUGCGAUAUACGGCAAGCGGCCAAGCGAAAGCGUUAAGUAUUCCACCUGGGGAGUACGCCGGCAACGGUGAAACUCAAAGGAAUUGACGGGGGCCCGCACAAGCGGAGGAACAUGUGGUUUAAUUCGAUGAUACGCGAGGAACCUUACCCGGGCUUAAAUUGCAGAUGAAUUACGGUGAAAGCCGUAAGCCGCAAGGCAUCUGUGAAGGUGCUGCAUGGUUGUCGUCAGCUCGUGCCGUGAGGUGUCGGCUUAAGUGCCAUAACAAGCGCAACCCUUGUUGUCAGUUACUAACAGGUUCCGCUGAGGACUCUGACAAGACUGCCAUCGUAAGAUGUGAGGAAGGUGGGGAUGACGUCAAAUCAGCACGGCCCUUACGUCCGGGGCUACACACGUGUUACAAUGGGGGGUACAGAGGGCCGCUACCACGCGAGUGGAUGCCAAUCCCCAAAACCUCUCUCAGUUCGGACUGGAGUCUGCAACCCGACUCCACGAAGCUGGAUUCGCUAGUAAUCGCGCAUCAGCCACGGCGCGGUGAAUACGUUCCCGGGCCU